rnacentral:rRNA from 1 species
UGUAGUCAUCUGCUUGUCUCAAAGAUUAAGCCAUGCAUGUCUAAGUAUAAGCAAUCUAUACCGUGAAACUGCGAAUGGCUCAUUAAAUCAGUUAUCGUUUAUUUGAUAGUACCUUACUACUUGGAUAACCGUGGUAAUUCUAGAGCUAAUACAUGCUAAAAACCUCGACUUCGGAAGGGGUGUAUUUAUUAGAUAAAAAACCAAUGCCCUUCGGGGCUCCUUGGUGAUUCAUAAUAACUUAACGAAUCGCAUGGCCUUGUGCCGGCGAUGGUUCAUUCAAAUUUCUGCCCUAUCAACUUUCGAUGGUAGCGUAGUGGGCUACCAUGGUUUCAACGGGUAACGGGGAAUUAGGGUUCUAUUCCGGAGAGGGAGCCUGAGAAACGGCUACCACAUCCAAGGAAGGCAGCAGGCGCGCAAAUUACCCAAUCCCGACACGGGGAGGUAGUGACAAUAAAUACUGAUACAGGGCUCUUUUGGGUCUUGUAAUUGGAAUGAGUACAAUUUAAAUCCCUUAACGAGGAACAAUUGGAGGGCAAGUCUGGUGCCAGCAGCCGCGGUAAUUCCAGCUCCAAUAGCGUAUAUUAAAGUUGUUGCAGUUAAAAAGCUCGUAGUUGAACCUUGGGCCUGGCUGGCCGGUCCGCCUCACCGCGUGCACUGGUCCGGCCGGGUCUUUCCUUCUGAGGAGCCGCAUGCCCUUCACUGGGUGUGUCGGGGAAUCAGGACUUUUACUUUGAAAAAAUUAGAGUGUUCAAAGCAGGCCUAUGCUCGAAUACAUUAGCAUGGAAUAAUAGAAUAGGACGUGUGGUUCUAUUUUGUUGGUUUCUAGGACCGCCGUAAUGAUUAAUAGGGAUAGUCGGGGGCAUCAGUAUUCAAUUGUCAGAGGUGAAAUUCUUGGAUUUAUUGAAGACUAACUACUGCGAAAGCAUUUGCCAAGGAUGUUUUCAUUAAUCAGUGAACGAAAGUUAGGGGAUCGAAGACGAUCAGAUACCGUCGUAGUCUUAACCAUAAACUAUGCCGACUAGGGAUCGGGCGAUGUUAUCUUUUUGACUCGCUCGGCACCUUACGAGAAAUCAAAGUCUUUGGGUCUGGGGGAGUAGGCGCAUG